AGCAGCCGCGGUAAUUCCAGCUCCAAUAGCGUAUAUUAAAGUUGUUGCAGUUAAAAAGCUCGUAGUUGAAUUUCGGGAUCAAUUUAUUGGUCGUGCUAUUGUACGUACUGGUAUUAUUGAUUCCUACCUUCUGACGAACCAUGAUGUCAUUAAUUUGGUGUCAUGGGGAAUCAGGACUGUACUUUGAAAAAUUAGAGUGUUAAAGCAGGCUCACGCUUGAAUACAUUAGCAUGGAAUAACGAAAUAGGACGUUUGAUUCUAUUUUGUUGGUUUCUAGGAUCGACGUAAUGAUUAAUAGGGAUAGUUGGGGGCAUUAGUAUUCAAUUGUCAGAGGUGAAAUUCUUGGAUUUAUUGAAGACUAACUACUGCGAAAGCAUUUGCCCAAGGACGUUUUUCAAUUAAUACAAGAACGAAAGUUAGGGGAUCGAAGACGAUCAGGUACCGUCGUAGUCUUAACCAUAAACUAUGCCGACUAGGGAUCGGAUGAUGUUAAUUUUUAAUGUAACU
rnacentral:rRNA from 1 species